rnacentral:lncRNA from 1 species
UUUGAUCAUAACUUUCUCUUUUUAAAACGGAACUCCGCGGAAUUUAUAUAGUACAUUCUAGUGAGCGUAUUUUACUGUUACAAAGCCUCGGGUACGUCAAAGGGUCACUCAGAGGUAUAAUUAAACAUGUUGACACAGUUAACCCCCUGCAGCGUGUAAUCUCUCACUUUCUUCCGCGUUUCGCUUCCGUACGAUCCAUGAUUUAUUCGUUUGAAGGUACGAGCAUCGUUUAGGGUUACUAUACAGUAUACUUACUCUUGGUUGACAUUUAUAACCCUCGAAUUUACAUACUUUCAAGGUUUGUCAACUUUAGUCCUUUAUUUAACAUUAAAAGCCACGUGUAAACUCAAGACACGUGUCAAUACAUUAUUGGACACAAAAUUUCGAGGUGUUACAAACAACUAUCCCUAGAACUGUUUAUAAAUAAUAAACCUUCUCCUCACAUUUUAUUCAACACUUCGUAACUCAUGAAAUUUCUUAGUAACUACAAAUUAUUUAUCUUUUUUAAAUAAAUAUGUAUUUUAAAUAAUAAUGAUUUAUUUGCCAAGUAUGUAGUUAAAUAAUUAAACUAUACUACCUAAAAGCACUAGAUAUUUCCAUAAACUUUAAUAUAUAUCCAACUUAUUGUAUCAUGUGAACUAUUUAGGAUAAUUCCCAUCGGUUGAAGUUUCCCUCUUUUAUUCGUGCGUUAUUUUCAAGAAAUCGCAACGCAAUCAAUGUGAGUAUACUCGAUCUCUUUUUCCCCUUUACACUUUGGGAUGCAACAUGUAUACCUAUUCAAAACAACUGUUAUUCUUAAACAAAACAUACUCUAUCUAUGAACGUGACAUGAAACUAUUGUGAAUAUUUGCUAUGCUUGUAUGCUCUAUGAACGAUUUGGAACGUUAUAUGCUCAUUAACUUUGCUAGCCCACCUUAACAAUUAUAGCGCUAUAGGAUUGACGCCCUGCCCGUUAUUCUUGUGGGUAUUGUUAAGUUAAACUUUACCACCCCGCUAAACUUUUGGGAUUAGGCUUGUUAUGCGUUGUAUUCUUGGGUUUGAUCAUAUUGUACGCCAAAAAUUGCAUUGCUAGUAAUUUACACAUUAUGUAACAUGUUGGAUAUGAGUUUUUAUUCUAUUAUGCUAUGUAGUCAAACUUGUUAAUUGUUGAGGUGGUAUUCAAGAUGAAACAAGAUUUAGGGUGGAUACACACCUAGAUUAAUUUAUCUUUUAUUGUUAUGAUUUAUGUUGAAACAAUGUUGUUAUCUUUAUUUUAAUUUUGUAUGACAUUAGUAUUGGAAAUGAAAUUUGAAUU